GAUGAACGCUGGCGGCGUGCCUAAUACAUGCAAGUCGAGCGAACAGACGAGGAGCUUGCUCCUCUGACGUUAGCGGCGGACGGGUGAGUAACACGUGGAUAACCUACCUAUAAGACUGGGAUAACUUCGGGAAACCGGAGCUAAUACCGGAUAAUAUAUUGAACCGCAUGGUUCAAUAGUGAAAGACGGUUUUGCUGUCACUUAUAGAUGGAUCCGCGCCGCAUUAGCUAGUUGGUAAGGUAACGGCUUACCAAGGCAACGAUGCGUAGCCGACCUGAGAGGGUGAUCGGCCACACUGGAACUGAGACACGGUCCAGACUCCCACGGGAGGCAGCAGUAGGGAAUCUUCCGCAAUGGGCGAAAGCCUGACGGAGCAACGCCGCGUGAGUGAUGAAGGUCUUCGGAGCGUAAAACUCUGUUAUUAGGGAAGAACAAAUGUGUAAGUAACUAUGCACGUCUUGACGGUACCUAAUCAGAAAGCCACGGCUAACUACGUG
rnacentral:rRNA from 1 species